UAGACGAUGCGUCAUGCAUAUCAAUAAGCGGAGGAAAAGAAACUAACAAGGAUUCCCUUAGUAACGGCGAGUGAAGCGGGAAGAGCUCAAAUUUGAAAUCUUAAAGGGUUUCCCUUUACGAAUUGUAGUUUAAAGAAGUGUUUUCUGUUGAGGUUUUGGUAAAAGUUCUUUGGAAUAGGACAUCAUAGAGGGUGAGAAUCCCGUAUUUGACCUUUACUUUCAACUUUGUGAUACACUUUCAAAGAGUCGGAUUGUUUGGGAAUGCAGUCCAAAAUGGGUGGUAAAUUUCAUCUAAAGCUAAAUAUUGGCGAGAGACCGAUAGCGAACAAGUACCGUGAGGGAAAGAUGAAAAGAACCUUGAAAAGAGAGUUAAACAGUACGUGAAAUUGUCAAAAGGGAAGCGUUUGACACCAGUGUUGUUUUUCUGAAAAUCAAUUAAAGAACUGUUUAUGCUAAGUUGUUUAGACUUUAUCAGCUAACUGUUUAGUUUUGAGCUUUUCUUUAAUGCACUUUUCAGUUAACAAGUCAACAUCAAUUUCUUUUGCUGUAAAAAAGCUUGAGGAAGGUGGCUUGAGAUUCGUCUUAAGUGUUUAUAGCCUCUUGCCUAUGCAGUCGGAGAGAUUGAGGUCUGCAGCGUAGAUCCUUCGGGGCUAAAUGCAUUUGUGCUAAGUUAUAGCAUUUUAUAGACAACUUGUUGACUAUGAUUUGUCUUGUAGCUUACUCGCUUAUGUUAUUUUACCUACGCUUAGGAUGUUGACACACGCGCGUGCUCG
rnacentral:rRNA from 1 species